rnacentral:rRNA from 1 species
GACGAACGCUGGCGGCGUGCUUAACACAUGCAAGUCGAACGAUGAAGCCUUCGGGUGGAUUAGUGGCGAACGGGUGAGUAACACGUGGGUGAUCUGCCCUGCACUUUGGGAUAAGCCUGGGAAACUGGGUCUAAUACCGAAUAUGAUCAUGCUCUUCAUGGGGUGUGGUGGAAAGCUUUUGCGGUGUGGGAUGGGCCCGCGGCCUAUCAGCUUGUUGGUGGGGUAAUGGCCUACCAAGGCGACGACGGGUAGCCGGCCUGAGAGGGUGACCGGCCACACUGGGACUGAGAUACGGCCCAGACUCCUACGGGAGGCAGCAGUGGGGAAUAUUGCACAAUGGGCGCAAGCCUGAUGCAGCGACGCCGCGUGAGGGAUGACGGCCUUCGGGUUGUAAACCUCUUUCAGCAGGGACGAAGCGCAAGUGACGGUACCUGCAGAAGAAGGACCGGCCAACUACGUGCCAGCCGCCGCGGUAA